rnacentral:rRNA from 1 species
AGCGAACGCUGGCGGCAGGCCUAACACAUGCAAGUCGAACGGAUCCUUCGGGAUUAGUGGCGGACGGGUGAGUAACACGUGGGAACGUGCCCUUUGGUUCGGAACAACCCAGGAAAACUUGAGCUAAUACCGGAUGUGCCCUUCGGGGGAAAGAUUUAUCGCCAUUGGAGCGGCCCGCGUCUGAUUAGCUAGUUGGUGAGGUAAAGGCUCACCAAGGCGACGAUCAGUAGCUGGUCUGAGAGGAUGAUCAGCCACAUUGGGACUGAGACACGGCCCAAACUCCUACGGGAGGCAGCAGUGGGGAAUCUUGCGCAAUGGGCGAAAGCCUGACGCAGCCAUGCCGCGUGAAUGAUGAAGGUCUUAGGAUUGUAAAAUUCUUUCACCGGGGACGAUAAUGACGGUACCCGGAGAAGAAGCCCCGGCUAACUUCGUGCCAGCCGCCGCGGUAA